GAUAUACAUGAAUUCGGCUAUUCAUUUAUUUGGAAGAUACAUGUAUGUAUUAUUUGCAGAAUUGCCAUUCAGUGAUGCAUGUAAAUUGGGUGGCUCAUUUGUGGUGGAAAUUUGUGUGCACACAAAGUUCUUAGUUGCUGUUCCCACCAUGGAUAACUUGUGUAGGAAAAGGUUUUUCUGCUCAAUUGGUGUUUGAUGUGCGGCAAUUUGGUGAUACCAGUCACGAUAUUUAAAUUGCUUGUAUGGUGGACUUCAGGGUGCUGCUCUAAGAGGAUGAGGAAUGCUUGGCAAGCUACCCCUCUUCGUUUAUUGUGGUGCUUAUAAAGGGGAAGAAAUCGUCCUACUUCUUGAGAUGUUCCUUUGGCUACUCAAAGUCUAAAGUUGCUUUUCGUAGAACCUUACAUCUUUGGCUCAAGGAUGAUUUCUGUCCAUCCUCUUUCUUGUUAGUAGAUUCUGUAGAGUAACUUCACUUUUCGAAAGGCCUAUAACGUUUAAUAAUGUACCUUCUUCCCCUCUUUUUGAUUGUACAGGGGCGAUGCCAGCUUGGUGGUAUGACUGGUAUCUCUUUUUAUAUGCAAUUCUUCAUUUUUACUUACUUUUCGAAAAGAAAAAGGAAUUUGUCCCUCCCCAGUUUAACUAGUAGUUGGCCUUAUCUCAAUUAAAGGUCAUGUAAGUUCCAUGUGUCUACUUCCAAAAUCAUGUUCUAAUUUUAGAAACCUUCCAUUUUCUGAAGGGUUGGUGUUUCCAGUUAUAAAAGAAUAAAAAUUUGACUACAAGGCGGAACAACUAAUGAUGGAAUAUCAAGCUGUGCAGAUGAAUGCCAGGCAAAAUGAAUCAAGCUCAAAUUUAACUGGCUGAAUUUCAUCCGAGGCUCCAAAUCCACUUCAACAUGACA
rnacentral:lncRNA from 1 species